UCAGGUGACUAUAGCAUCAGGGUUCCACCUCUUCCCAUUCCGAACAGAGAAGUUAAGCCUGAUCACGCCGAUGGUACUGCGUAAUAGUGGGAGAGUAGGUAGUCGCCGUUU
rnacentral:rRNA from 1 species